GCCUGGGUGGCUCAGUCAGUUGAGUGUCUGACUUCAACUCAGGUCAUAAUCUCAGGGUUCUGGGAUCGAGCCCCAUUUUGGGCU
rnacentral:tRNA from 1 species